UACAGAGGGUGCAAGCGUUAAUCGGAAUUACUGGGCGUAAAGCGUGCGCAGGCGGUUGUGCAAGACCGAUGUGAAAUCCCCGGGCUCAACCUGGGAAUGGCAUUGGUGACUGCACGGCUAGAGUGUGUCAGAGGGGGGUAGAAUUCCACGUGUAGCAGUGAAAUGCGUAGAGAUGUGGAAGAAUACCGAUGGCGAAGGCAGCCCCCUGGGAUAACACUGACGCUCAUGCACGAAAGCGUGGGGAGCAAACAGG
rnacentral:rRNA from 1 species